CGCUCGCGCUCCUGGCGGGAGGCUCGUCCCUCACAUGCCUCGCGUGGCUGGCGGACCGUUGGGAACCGCCGUUGUGGCGUUAGCGCGGGCCCUGGAGCUGCCUCGAGACAGGGUCUCUUGUGGCGAGAAGAUUUCCUGAGACAACUUAUCUGAGUUUAAUUAGUCUGAACCGGCAACAACAAUUAAUGCUCAGAAAACUAAAAGUGACACGACAGAUGAGACUUUCUGAACAGUGAUGACAGCUUGUACAUUUGCAAAUACAAGUUCUCAUCUGCAGUUCUUUCUUAAACAUUUCGUCUCCUCCACUGCGAAAUCUCCUCAAGUUGGAAGCAGAAGGGCAGCUGCUGAAGGCAACAGUUAGCAUGUUCGCAGGGAUCUCAAGACGUGGAAUCGGUCGAGGCUGAUGCAGAGCCCCUUCAACAGCCGUGUAAGCAAGUGAGUCAAAGGCAGCCUGCGACAGCUAUAUGGAACAGCAGUAGAAGAAGCCGACCCCUACUUCAUCAAUCUAGUGCCACCAAGAUAUUGGGCCUUAAAGUGAGAAUAUAAGAAACUGCAUAUCUCCUUGGGUCAAGAUCAGAUUUUUCAGUAACUUGGAAGUUGGAUAAUGGUACCAGAAUGUGACCACUCUCUAUGUUGUUCCGAAAGAGGAUCUAUUGUACUCAUGUAUAGCAUGAUCUGAUGGAUAGCAUGCAGGACAAGCUUUUCCCUAUAUUUCUGUACACAUGAUAAUAAAUAAACCAU